UACGUAGGUGGCAAGCGUUGUUCGGAAUUAUUGGGCGUAAAGGGCGCGUAGGCGGUUUGUUAAGUCGGCUGUGAAAGCCCGGGGCUCAACCCCGGAGGGUCAGCCGAUACUGGCAGACUAGAGUACGGAAGAGGUAGCUGGAAUUCCCGGUGUAGCGGUGAAAUGCGUAGAGAUCCGGAAGAACACCGGUGGCGAAGGCGGCCUGCUGGGCAGUGGCUGACGCUGAGGCGCGACAGCGUGGGGAGCAAACAGG
rnacentral:rRNA from 1 species